UGGUCGGAGUUGAGGGGUUAACAAUAGGAAUAGUUCCAGGAGUUGCAUCCAUUUGGGUGGUGGAUUCUGUCGAUGUAAAAAGCAUCCGGUUUGCUUGAGCAUGCAGGUACUUGAUUUGCUGCUGGAUUGCUUCUGAAGGAGGUUUCUCUGCAACAUUUGAACCUGAACAAGUGAAAAGAUUAAAUGAGCCUGGCUUCUUAUUCAAAACUGCUUAAGAUGGAGAUGAUGGCAUAUCACUGAUGCAGACGAGCAGAGACAGGGCACCUCACGUCCUCAGCCCACCUCUCUUCCAACUUCGGAUCCUUACCUCAUCGGAUACGGUAAUUGACGGGCAGCACCUAUUAUAUAACGCAGUUUUAUUUGGUCAGCAGCAUGUGGCAGCGUCUGCGGCCCCCAUAUUGUUUUACCCAGUUGAGUCUUGUUUCAUAGGCCCGUAUCAUCAUUUUUCAAUAAAUUUGGUGCUCUCUCAUUCUAUCUUAUACUUGGACUUGAGUAUGCCUCAAAAAUAGGAAAAGGAGCAACGGAUUACGGAUCAACCUUAUCCAAAUUGUUAUAUAACGAUCGAGAAUUCCCUUUUUAGUAGGAACACAGAGGACCAUUUUUUUUUUUUUUUAUGCACGUUUCCCAUGAGUAAUUGAAUGGCUAAUUAUGAGGAUCAAAAUAAUACAAUGGCGAUGGUAUGAUUUGUCACUA